GACGAACGCUGGCGGCGUGCUUAACACAUGCAAGUCGAACGGAUAGGCCCUGCUUUUGUGGGGUGCUCGAGUGGCGAACGGGUGAGUAACACGUGAGUAACCUGCCCUUGACUUUGGGAUAACUUCAGGAAACUGGGGCUAAUACCGGAUAGGAGCUCCUGCUGCAUGGUGGGGGUUGGAAAGUUUCGGCGGUUGGGGAUGGACUCGCGGCUUAUCAGCUUGUUGGUGGGGUAGUGGCUUACCAAGGCUUUGACGGGUAGCCGGCCUGAGAGGGUGACCGGCCACAUUGGGACUGAGAUACGGCCCAGACUCCUACGGGAGGCAGCAGUGGGGAAUAGUGCACAAUGGGCGGAAGCCUGAUGCAGCAACGCCGCGUGCGGGAUGACGGCCUUCGGGUUGUAAACCGCUUUCGCCUGUGACGAAGCGUGAGUGACGGUAAUGGGUAAAGAAGCACCGGCUAACUACGUG
rnacentral:rRNA from 1 species